GGAUUAGGCAUGCAAGUCGAACGAGGGAGUAUCCCGAAAGGGGUACAAAUCGAGUGGCGUAAGGGUGAGUAAUGCAUUGAUAACCUACCUUUAAGAUGAGGAUAACAACGUUUCGAGCAAUCGAAACUACCGAAAGGGUUGCUAAUACUCAAUAACACUAUCGAUACUUCAGUACUGAUAGUCAAAUGUCUGGAGUCGAAAGGCUCCAUUUGCUUAGAGAGGGGUCAAUGUCCUAUCAGCUAGUUGGUAGGGUAACGGCCUACCAAGGCGAAGACGGGUAGCCGGCCUGAGAGGGUGGUCGGCCACAUUGGGACUGAGACACUGCCCAGACUCCUACGGGAGGCUGCAGUCGAGAAUCUUUCGCAAUGCCCGAAAGGGUGACGAAGCGACGCCGCGUGUGGGAAGAAGGCCUUCGGGUUGUAAACCACUGUCGGGAGUUAAGAAAUGUAAGGAUGUUAAUAGCGUCCUUACUUGACUAAGGCUCCGGAGGAAGCCACGGCUAACUCUGUGCCAGCAGCCGCGGUAAUACAGAGGUGGCAAGCGUUGUUCGGAAUUAUUGGGCGUAAAGAGCACGUAGGCGGCCUUGAAAGUCAGUUGUGAAAGCCUUCCGCUUAACGGAAGAACAGCAUCUGAUACUACAGGGCUUGAGUGCGGGAGGGGAGAGUGGAACUUCUGGUGGAGCGGUGAAAUGCGUAGAUAUCAGAAGGAACGCCGGCGGCGAAAGGGGCUCUCUGGCCCGUAACUGACGCUGAGUGUGCGAAAGCUAGGGGAUCAAACGGGAUUAGAUACCCCGGUAGUCCUAGCCGUAAACGAUGGGCACUAAGUAGAGGGGUUUU
rnacentral:rRNA from 1 species